GCCCUUAUCUGGUCAGAUACUUUCAAGGUCAAGCCCAAACUGUAAACAAUGAUGGGGCGUCAACAGAGUCGAAAAAUGCGUCACCAUUGCCCAUGUCAAACAGAAGAAGUUAAAAAAGCCAGAAAGAAAACUAGGAUAAAUAUCAGAGCUAGCAGAUUUCAGAGGUGGAGGGAGGUGCGGGAUUUGUAAGGACUCAAGAGCUGGCAGAGUUAGCUGCUUUUCUGCUGGACAGUGGAACUGCAUGGGGUCGUCAGUGGACAGCGACACACACAGGCCUUUCUGCAGAAACUCUCGUAGAGGAUUCUUGGAGUACUCCAGGAAAAGGCUGUUGUUGCUCAGUGGUGACAUGGCGAUCGGGACCUGGGCCAAGUAGUACAGCAUGCACAUCCAGAGAGUCUACGGUGAGGUCAUAGGGGUCCAUGUUGAGGUUGCUGAAGACUUCCUUGAGUGUGAUCUUCUUACCGCCCUUCUCCAAGACCACGCGAUCUGCCUCUGUCUGGUCCAUCUUGUAGCGGUCCUGAAGUUCAGUUUGGGUCUGAAGACGCCUGCGUUCUUCUUCUGCUGCGUUCGCCGCUGAGUCCUCCAGAGCCUGGUCAAAAGGGAAACAGACAGCUGUCAAAUAAAGCGGGUGACAGACCAUUCAUCAUUCAGAGGCCGCAACGCGGACUGGAUCUAUUAUUGGUAUUCAUGAGCUUGCCGUGAGUUUCAGAGGAGAGCCAUCAGAGUUUUUAGGUGACCUACUUUGAUUGUUGUGUGAAACGCAGCAACUACUGUGUGUGUGUGACUGAAACCAACAGUGUGAAGCAGAAAAAUGAGUUUGUCUCUUACAAGAGCUUUAGAGACAACUCAUGCUACUAUCAGUUUACGUUUAUUUUAAGCGACGUCUCUGAAAUGGAAUGUUGUUGAAUCAGCUUUGAGAGUUUUUUAUUAGCUGCAAACAUCAUGACAAAGCAAACUGGUUGGUAAAAUAUCUGUGACGUCACUGUCAGUCGUUACAUACAGUGGUUGACGCCAACCUGUGCUUUGACAGUCCAAUUAAAUGUGUUGUCCAGAUUAAGUCAU